AUGGGAAAAACAAUGAAGACACCCAUUGGAGCUUUAAUUGCAUUCUUGUGGCUGCAGCUGGACUGUGUCAGCCUUGGGAACAAGGUGGAGCAGAGUCCUUCCACCCUGAGUGUCCAGGAGGGAAACAGCUCUGUUAUCACCUGCACUUAUACAGAUGGUAACUCAGAGUAUUUCCCUUGGUAUAAGCAAGAACCUGGAAAAGGUCCCCAGCUCCUUAUAGCUAUUCGUUCAAAUAAAGACAAAGAGGAAGACCAGAAACUGACUGUUUUUUUGAACAAGACAGCCAAACGUCUCUCCCUGCACAUCGCAACCACUGAAGCUGGAGACUCGGCUGCCUAUUUCUGUGCAGCAAGAACACAGUGCUUCCCAGGCAUCUUCUGUCUGUACUCAAACCUGUGCCUGGGGCAGCCCCCUUCCUUUGGUGCAACCUUCAAAUAUGACAAAUGUUAUAUUGUCCAGUAUCCUGGAGAAGGUCCACAGCUCCUCCUGAAAGCCACGAAGGCCAACGACGACAAGGGAACCAACAAAGGUUUUUGA